UACGUAGGGCGCAAGCGUUGUCCGGAAUUAUUGGGCGUAAAGAGCUCGUAGGCGGUUUGUCGCGUCUGUCGUGAAAGCUUGGGGCUUAACCCCAAGUCUGCGGUGGAUACGGGCAGACUAGAGGCAGGUAGGGGAGAACGGAAUUCCAGGUGUAGCGGUGAAAUGCGUAGAUAUCUGGAGGAACACCGGUGGCGAAGGCGGCAUCCUGGACCGGCAUUGACGCUGAGGCGCGAAAGCUAGGGGAGCAAACGGG
rnacentral:rRNA from 1 species